GACGAACGCUGGCGGCGUGCUUAACACAUGCCAGUCGAACGGUGAAGCGCCUUCCUUUUUGGUGGGUGUGGAUGAGUGGCGAACGGGUGAGUAACACGUGAGUAACCUGCCCCCUUCUUCUGGAUAACCGCAUGAAAGUGUGGCUAAUACGGGAUAUUCUGGGUCUGUCGCAUGAUGGGUCUGGGAAAGAUAUUGUUUCGGUGGGGGAUGGGCUCGCGGCCUAUCAGCUUGUUGGUGAGGUGAUGGCCUACCAAGGCGGUGACGGGUAGCCGGCCUGAGAGGGUGGACGGUCACACUGGGACUGAGACACGGCCCAGACUCCUACGGGAGGCAGCAGUGGGGAAUAUUGCACAAUGGGCGCAAGCCUGAUGCAGCGACGCCGCGUGAGGGAUGGAGGCCUUCGGGUUGUGAACCUCUUUCGCCAGUGAAGCAGGCCUGCCUCGUUUGUGGGUGGGUUGACGGUAGCUGGAUAAGAAGCGCCGGCUAACUACGUG
rnacentral:rRNA from 1 species